UAUAUUUUAAAUGACAUUGAACGAAAGUGUAAGCGGAACGAGAGAAGCAAAAACUAUUUCUUCUUCAGCAUCCUUCCACAUCCCAAGAGCACCGUUGAAGCGCACACGGUUCUCGCCGUAGCAUCAGACACAAAGAGCUCGGACGAGCCUGAUACAAUCCAUUUUGUUAUUUACCGCCGCUUGAUUUAUGAGUUCCCCUUUAAUGGUGCGCCAUUUUCAUUUUAAAAUGCUCAUUUUCUGCGACCGUACCAAUACCAAUGGUUAGCGUAUACAUCCUAGAUGAGCCACGUGCCACGCCAUAUUAACCGCAAUUGUACCUUUGGAGGGUCUUGAUGAGCGCGCCCAUCCGGCGAAUAAAUUACACCUCGGCCGCAAAAGGCCAAGGUCACAACAGCAGCCGCCAGGUGCUGGAAAGCCGGCGAGCCGCUAUCUCGGUAAUAGGUGUCUGGUGCACAAUAGGAAAUCCGAAUUGGCCGCCAGACGAUGGCAGAAUCCAGUGCUGGUCUAGUCUAGUCUAGCCGAGGGUUUGGUGUGGCUGGAUCAAAUGGUGCACAAAAUUCGGGCAGCCUAUAGGACCCCAGACAAUUUCGACACAAAAACUUUCCACAAACUAGUCGGCAGCCGGCUGCCGGUUGCCGGUUGUAUCCGGCCACAGCUUAACAGAACAGCCAAACAGAUUCCGUUAACUAGUCAGCGGUUAGUUGUGAUUGAUGGGUCGGCUUGGAAUUGCUUCACACCUUUCGGCCUCCCCGAACUGUU